rnacentral:rRNA from 1 species
GAUGAACGCUGGCGGCGUGCCUAAUACAUGCAAGUCGAGCGAACAGACGAGGAGCUUGCUCCUCUGACGUUAGUGGCGGACGGGUGAGUAACACGUGGAUAACCUACCUAUAAGACUGGGAUAACUUCGGGAAACCGGAGCUAAUACCGGAUAAUAUAUUGAACCGCAUGGUUCAAUAGUGAAAGACGGUUUUGCUGUCACUUAUAGAUGGAUCCGCGCCGCAUUAGCUAGUUUGUAAGGUAACGGCUUACCAAGGCAACGAUGCGUAGCCGACCUGAGAGGGUGAUCGGCCACACUGGAACUGAGACACGGUCCAGACUCCUACGGGAGGCAGCAGUAGGGAAUCUUCCGCAAUGGGCGAAAGCCUGACGGAGCAACGCCGCGUGAGUGAUGAAGGUCUUCGGAUCGUAAAACUCUGUUAUUAGGGAAGAACAAAUGUGUAAGUAACUAUGCACGUCUUGACGGUACCUAAUCAGAAAGCCACGGCUAACUACGUG